AAUCGAUCAAGUUCAAGGCCCCGAAUCCCGAGGCUCGUGAAGGAUAAAGUGUAGAACAAGUUGUUGCCGUCGUUCUAAGCUAAAAAUUGAACUUGGGGGAUGUUGUUUUCGUGGUAUCUGCUCACAUAAGGUAACGAAGAAGAGCAGGUUCGUGAUACUUUCGACGCUUAAGAGGACUUGCUACUGCUGUGGAUUUGGUGAUCCCACAUUCUUGUUCGUGGGACACUUCCUGUUUCGUUUAUUAUUCUGGAUUUCCGGGCUGCGUCCCAAAGUUUGACGAUUGUUAUGUCUCUUAGAAGCUCCAUAGAUAGUUGUCAGAAUUGUGGGUAGAUUGUCAAAGUCUCGUACGACUUAAUGACUGUUUGCCACGUUUAUGACUAUGACUUAUAAAGACUUCCGCUGAUUUAAUUCAUG